CACAUGACUCUCGGCAACGGAUAUCUUGGCUCUCGCAUCGAUGAAGAACGUAGCAAAAUGCGAUACCUGGUGUGAAUUGCAGAAUCCCGUGAACCAUCGAGUUUUUGAACGCAAGUUGCGCCCGAGGCCUUCUGGUCGAGGGCACGUCUGCCUGGGCGUCACGU
rnacentral:rRNA from 1 species